rnacentral:rRNA from 1 species
UACAGGGGGGGCAAGCGUUGUUCGGAAUUACUGGGCGUAAAGGGUUCGUAGGUGGCCACUUAAGUCAGACGUGAAAUCCCUCAGCUUAACUGGGGAACUGCGUCUGAUACUGGGUGGCUUGAGUGCAGGAGAGGAAUGCGGAAUUCCAGGUGUAGCGGUGAAAUGCGUAGAUAUCUGGAGGAACACCGGUGGCGAAGGCGGGUCUCUGGGCAACAACUGACGCUGAGGAGCGAAAGCGUGGGGAGCGAACAGG